rnacentral:misc_RNA from 1 species
UAUAUUCGCCAGUAUAAUAAUGUGAAUAUUAAUGUAGCAGUACAGACAGAUAAUGGACUAUAUGUUCCGGUUGUUAGGGAUGCAGACAAGAAAGGUUUGUCUAAAAUUGCUGAGGAGGUCAAGUUUUUGGCGCAGAAAGCCAAAGAGAAUAGCUUGAAACCAGAAGAUUAUGAGGGAGGCACAUUUACUGUGUCAAAUUUGG